UUAUACAUGAGAUCUGCAAUUAUCACUGGGUAGCAUUUGAAUGAUUAUUUUAGCUUUCUGUAUUCUCUGAAAGAAACACUUUUUUUCUUUGGUCACAGUGAUUCCUUGCUUCUAUAUAUAUGCUGAGGAAGAGAAAUUUUCAAAAAAGGGUGCUUCUGUCUGUUCAAAAAACAUCUCAUCUCCAAUCAAGGACCAUGAAAGUGAUCCUGAUACUACAGAAGAAACAUGGGAGGUGGAAGAUUAUGAGUACGAUAGGGCAUUGAAUGCUGACAGGGUUUACCUUAAGUUCAAAAAGCGAGUAGAUGCAUAUCCAGAACAGUGUUUCAGAUACUCAUAUGGUGGAAAGCCGCUUUUGGCUUCUGGAGAUGCUGGUGAUGUAGGAAUGUGCAGGCUUGUGGUGCAGCACGUCAAUAUGAAAUGCAGCUGAUGCCCCCAUUGCUAUAUUUUCUGCAGGAAGCCGUGAGCGAGAAAGGAAAACAUGCCUUGGAUAACUGGAAUUGGAUAACUUUAAUAGUCUAUACUUGCUCACAGAACUGUUCAAACGAUAACUCUAGCGAUGAUGUCUGGACUGUGGCUGAGGAAGCUGUUGUCGUACAAUAUGAAUAGCAUCGAUUAAGU